ACGGCGCCCACGAGGAAGGUCGGCUCUGCCGACGGGGCGGCGGCGGAGGAGCCCCGGAGGAGGUGGGCGAGGGUGUCAGCUAAACCUGCUCCUGCGAAAGUGGCCACGACGCCAAGAAAGGCGGCAGGAAAGCCAGGCUCCAAGCGGAGGGAGACCGCGGUGUCUGGGAACUGCUGCAGCGCUACUCGACAGAUCAUUAGCUCUGAGAAGCCAGCCUCCAUGUUGUGAACAACCCUAUGGAGAAACCCAUGUGGAAAGGAACUGAGUGCUCUUGUUAAAAGCCAUGUGAUGAGCUUAGAAGUGAAAUCUUCCAGACCAGAUGAGAAAACUGAAGGACAAAGAGUGACUUACCCAGGAUCACACAGCUAGUAAGUCAUGGAGGCACAAUUCAUCAAAGGCAGACUGGCUCUAAAAGACAUGCUCUUAACCACCAUGCUAUUACUGCUCUAUAAUUUUUCUUAAGUUCUCUUACUGAUGGAAAUCCACUCUGUUAUCAGUUUUUUCAUAUUGCAGACAAUGCUGCAUUUGUUUGCAACUGGCAAUUUUGCUCUUUCCUGAUACUAAGAUAUUAUCAUAAAAUGAUAUUAAUUCAUUCAAAAUAUCAAAGUUUUACCUUCAUAAGUUACCUCUGAGGUAAUCUGGGAAGGCUGCAGUGGAUUAAUAUAGUCUUAUUAUUACUUUGUUAUUAAAUGG